AAAAACCUGUAUUUAGCAAAAUGUCAAAUGUUUUGAAUAAGGAAUAGAUCCAGCUCAACAGUUUCAUGACCUCACCUCUCUGCAGCCUAAAUUUGAGCUCUUGCUUGAUCACUUACCAGCUGUGUGGCCUUGGACAAGGCACUUAACCUCUGUGGGUGUCGGUUCCCCAGAAGAACAGAAGUAGCUAUCACAUACGCUUGCUAUGAAGACUUUUCAAAACGUAGAAUUUCGCCUGAACUGUUUAACCCGGAGCUGUCACAUACUCGUCUCUACGUGAGUGUCACCGCCAGUCUCUUCCGCAGUAUUGGGUGCGUUGGCCAGGAAGGGAAGAGGCGCACGUCCCCUGGAUUUCCUGGGUUCCCCUUCUAGGACUCAGAGGCUCAAACCUCAAACAGAGACAGCAGAAGGAAGGAAUUCAAGUGGGUGAAAUCGUCAGUCUGAAUGGGGCUGGCCAGCAGGUCAGGUGGGGUCCAGAGCACGCGACAGGCACCACAGCUGGCCAUGUGCUGUGGGAGCGUCCCUAGGGCUGGCCCCUGCCUGGAAUCAUCAGAAGGGGGACUGAAGAGAUUCGGAUGGAUGCCCAGGGCGCGGUCACGCCACGAUCCUUUCAACUCUGUACCUCAGGGGAUGAGGGUUUCCAGGGGGGAGACACCACGAAGAGGGGGCUGGCUCUCCUGGGAUCCCGGGGGAGCCUCAUUAGCCCAGGAAGACGGGGCUGGUGCUCUGUGGGGUCUGCGUGUCAGGGCCUGGGAGGGUGCGAGGUAGUGUCGCUCUGUUAGUGUGACCCCCCUGCUGGGGUGCUUUCUCCGCUCCUCUUGACUCCGCCCUCACUUCCCCCCACCAGGCUGACUGUCUGAGGGAUAUGGCUCUGGUCCUGGUUCUGGUUCCAGCUCCCUCCCAGGCCUGUGGGUGGCCCGGAGUCCGGCUCUCCUCAUGCUGUGAGGCAGCUGCAGUCCAGUAUCUGCAGCUCAGGCCCCGGAGUCUCACAGGGGCCUCCAAGCAUUGCUGCAAGCUCCCCGCCCCGGCCUUCCACUGCCUCUGGGGGUCUGUGGCUCCCGACUCAGACCGGAACCCACCCAGGUCUUCCCCAUCAGCCCCUCCUGUCCAAGCUGACACACACUCACGUGGCUUUGGUCACCCUUGGCACAUCCCGCGUUUGCCUCGGACCGCAGCUCUUGCUCCUCCAGCAGAUGGAAAGCCCCUCAAGGACCCAGACUCACUUCUGCCCCACACGGCCAGUGCUUGGCACCUCGGGGCUGGCCGGAUGCGUACCUGGGUGAACUUGAGCCUGCCUGUGGGCACAACCUGUUGCCAGCCCCCUAACUGCACGGGCUCUUUGAGGGACCCGAGGGAGCCUCCUGGAGGCAGAGGGCGAGGCUGGGCUGGUGGGGUCUCCUUCCUGAGGCCUCUCGGCCGUCCUGGGACAGCAGCAUGUGGACCCCCUUCUGUCCCCCGCGCGCCCUGUGACACGGGUCUGGCUCAGGUAAGGAGCCUUAAAGAUACCGUUGAAUUAUGAAGUGUCCCCGGGAGGGACAGGAGCUCUGAGUGUGCCGAGGAAGCCAGGCCAAUGAGCUUGCCAGGACCUGUGCCACCCCAGGCCCUAGGUGCCAAGCUGCUCAUGUCUCUGUCAGCCUCCGACUGGGUGCCCACCGGGCGCCCCUCUGAAGGGCCGGCAGACGAAGAAUGGGCACCCCAGGGAUCUUGGAGCUCUGUCUUUGGGACCUCAGCCCCUACCGGAUCUGUCAGCUUGUUGGAGCCAGAGGCCAGCAGUGUGGCCAGAGACACCACCGGGAUCAAGGACGAACUGAAGAAGAGGAGGCUCUAGGAGGGCACGGCCGCAUCUUUGCAAGAGGUCUCUUCGGAAGCUGGUUAUUUACUGUUCCUCAAGACUGAUGCAAAUGAGCGUGAGAGGGACGGGGAGGAGGUUCAGUGUGAUGGCCAGAGGAGCCCCAAACGACUCACUCCCAGGCCCUUUUGAUUCCACCAACGUGCAGGUACUGACACGACUGGAUUAAGGAGCCCGUAAAGAACUGCUAAAAGCCAGGCCCAACAGCCCACACCUGUCAUCCCAGCACGGCGGGAGCCGGAGGCGCCAGGUUUGCAAGUUCAAGCCCAGCCUGGGCCAUUUAGUGAUCUAGCAAUGCCUCGUCUCCAAACUAAAAAUAAGAGCUGCCUGGAGGUGUAGCUCAGUUGCACAGCACCUGCCUAAUAUGUA